GCCUCCUUUCACCACUCGGUUUGGACUAUUGUAAUCAAAAGCAAAAGGUGACCUUAAGUCGCCAAUGCCUAAUUUCAAAGCCUUAUAUCAACAUCCUAACCACCAUUGUAUCAAUUGAAAACAGGGCAACCAAGUAGGUGAAUUUACAAGACAAGUCUGGAACUUUGGUAGAAGAAAGGGUGGUGAAAAUGGACAAAUAUAGCCAAGGCUUUGUGGUUGAGUUUCUAUUUCCUUUGAUAAUUUUGAGAAGCUGCCAAGGCUUUGUUAUUUAUAGCUACUUACAGCGAUGAUAUCUCCACAGCUAUACAGUUUGUCAAUAAGGCAAGGCCAUGGAUUACAUUGAUGGUCGUUGGCUGGGAAUAUGGUGCAAACAUGUUGACGAAGUACUUGGCAGAAGCUGGAGAGAAUACAUCGCUUACAGUUGCCAUGUGCAUAGACAAUCCAUUUGACUUAGAGGAGGCUACAAGGAAACCCCCAAAUCAAAAGCCAUAGCCCCUUCCAAUCAAAAAAGAAAAAAAGAAGAAGAAGAAGGAAAACCAUAGCUUCUCAUCUGUUUCUCUCUCCAGUCUCUAUGCUUCGCCUUUAGUGCACCUUCUCCUUUGUCUCUGCUCCUAAUGAUGAAUUGGGAUUGAAGGGAGCAAAAUCAAGAUGCCGUGGACGUCCUCUUUUGAUUCAAAUUCGUAAAAGCUUCCUUACUCUCUCUCUCUCCAUGUGGCGUGAGGUCAAAUAUUUGCUUUCUCUGUUCUAAAAAACAAUUUAUAGAACUCAAUGUUUUAUGUUAAAUAAAUAUAUGAUGUACUCUUCUAUAUAAUGCAGAUUUGUUGUAUUAUGUUCUUUCUCUACUCUUUUUGAGUCAUAGCAAAAGAAUUUG